rnacentral:rRNA from 1 species
UACGUAGGGUGCAAGCGUUAAUCGGAAUUACUGGGCGUAAAGCGUGCGCAAGCGGUUUCGUAAGUCUGUCGUGAAAUCCCCGGGCUUAACCUGGGAAUGGCGAUGGAGACUGCGAGGCUAGAGUUUGGCAGAGGGGGGUAGAAUUCCACGUGUAGCAGUGAAAUGCGUAGAGAUGUGGAGGAACACCGAUGGCGAAGGCAGCCCCCUGGGUCAAAACUGACGCUCAUGCACGAAAGCGUGGGGAGCAAACAGG